rnacentral:pre_miRNA from 1 species
CUUGUACUCCCUCUAUCCAAAAAUACUUGUCAUUGAAAUGGAUGUAUCUAAAUGUAUUUUAGUUCUAGACACAUCCAUUUUGAUGACAAGUAAUUCCAGACGGAGGGAGUACUUG